rnacentral:lncRNA from 1 species
AAAUGAGUAAACGUAGGAUUUAAAAUGAAUCAUCUGGAUAUCUUGGCGUAUUUUGACGCAUUUAAUUUGGUGUAAGUGCAUUUCAGAAAUACUUCCUAUUAAAAUAUAUAUAUAUAUAUAUAGGGAAAACAUCUGGAACGGCCCGUCCGCACGGUGAUCACCGUGCGGACACCGUCCAUUCCGAUUUUCGCCAUCGUUCAUUCCGAUCACCGUUCAUUCCAGAACCGAUUCCGCGAGCAGAGGAUGGAGCAGAGGUUCCGCGAGGGAGCGAUGGGUUCCGCGAGGAUGGAGCAUGGUUUCCGAUUGCGCUAGGAUGGAGCAUGGGUUCAUUCCAGAACCGAUUCCGCGAGCAGAGGUUCCGCGAGGGAGCGAUGGGUUCCGCGAGGAUGGGUUCCGAUUGCGCGAGGAUGGAGCAUGGGUUCAUUCCAGAACCGAUUGCGCGAGCAGAGGAUGGAGCAUGGGUUCCGCGAGGGAGCGAUGGGUUCCGAUUCCGCGAGCAGAGGUUCCGCGAGCAUGAGGAUGGAGCAUGGGUUCCGCGAGGGAGCCAUGGGUUCCGAUUGCGCGAGCAGAGGUUCCGCGAGGGAGCGAGGAUGGAGCAUGGGUUCCGAUUGCGCGAGGAUGGAGCAUGGGUUCAUUCCAGAACCGAUUCCGCGAGCAUGAGGAUGGAGCAUGGGUUCCGCGAGGGAGCCAUGGGUUCCGAUUGCGCGAGCAGAGGUUCCGCGAGGGAGCGAGGAUGGAGCAUGGGUUCCGAUUGCGCGAGGAUGGAGCAUGGGUUCAUUCCAGAACCGAUUCCGCGAGCAGAGGAUGGAGCAUGGGUUCCGCGAGGGAGCGAUGGGUUCCGAUUCCGCGAGCAGAGGUUCCGCGAGCAUGAAGUCCCUUAUUUAAAGAUCGGACGGUGGAGGGCAGGGUACCGUCAGGAGCGACCGUGCGAACAGGGUCGUUCCUGAUCUGUACUGUAUAUAUAUAUAUAUAUAUGCUUCUAGAACCCUUAUUUAAAAUGAUUUUUAGGGGUAUUUUGGUAACUUUAUAUCUGAAAAGUCGGUCAUGACACUCAAUUCCAC